UACGGAGGGUGCAAGCGUUAAUCGGAAUUACUGGGCGUAAAGCGUACGUAGGCGGCUUGUUAAGCAAGAUGUGAAAUCCCCGGGCUCAACCUGGGAAUGGCAUUUUGAACUGGCAAGCUCGAGUUCUGAAGAGGGUGGUAGAAUUUCCAGUGUAGCGGUGAAAUGCGUAGAUAUUGGAAGGAAUACCGGUGGCGAAGGCGGCCACCUGGUCAGAAACUGACGCUGAGGUACGAAAGCGUGGGGAGCAAACAGG
rnacentral:rRNA from 1 species